UAUCAAAAGAGCAAACUAUCCGAUAAAAGUACAGCCAUCAAAAGUAUAAAUCAUGUAAAAAAAGUCAAAAGUACAGCUAUUAAAAAUACAAAUCAUAUAAUAGAAGCCAAAAGUACAGCUUAAAAAAAUACAAAUCAUGUAACAGAAGCCAAAAGUACAGCUAUUAAAUAUUCAAAUCAUAUAAUAGAAGCCAAAAGUACAGCCAUCAAAAGUAAAAAUCAUGUAAUAGAAGUCAAAAGUACAACUAUUACAAAUAAAAAUCAUAAAUAGCAGCCAAAAGUACAGCCAUCAAAAACACAAAUCAUGUAACAGAAGCCAAAAGUACAGCUAUUAAAAAUGUAAAUAAUUUAAAAGAAGCCAAAAGUACAGCCGUCAAAAGUACAAAUCAUGAAAUAGAAGCCAAAAGUACAGCCAUCAAAAGUAUAAAUCAUGUAAAAAAAGUCAAAAGGACAGCUAUUAAAUAUUCAAAUCAUAUAAUAGAAGCCAUAAGUACAGCCAUCCAAAAUACAAAUCAUGUAAUAGAAGUCAAAAGUACAGCUAUUAAAAAUAUAAAUAAUAUAAUUUUCCAUGACUUGUCAUUGUUUUAUAUAACAUAUAAUUAUGGCUAUAUUAUAGCGAUAUCUAACAGAUAUCAACAAUUAAAAUAAUGCGAUAGAAUUCGAUAUUACAACACGAGUUAUAACCCUGUCAUCUAUUUUAUAUCGCUAAUCAUAAAUUCUAUCUCGGGAAAAAACUCGGUUUUAAAAGCCAAAAGUACCACACAUCAAAAAAAUAGGUUUUAAGUUUCAGGUCAGAGUUCCCCAAAUAUUUUUAUGGAGCUUUUAUCAGUGACUCUUCAGGAUACUGUAUCUAGAAGCCUAAAAAUCAAAAGGUAGCCGUUUUUGAAAAAAACGAUUUCAAACUUUUGUAAAUUAUUUUAUAAAAGGGGAGGGGGUGAGAGUUGUAAAGUUAAGGUUUUCCUUAUAAAAAAUCAAUAUUACCACUUUUUAAUUAUGUUAAGGUUAAUUCAGUAUUGCAGGUGAUUAAAUUUUGAUCAUCUUAAGAUGAUCAAAAUUUAAUCGCCUAAUUAACUAAUGCGAUUGUUGAUGGAAGCGUAAUUCAUAUAGUAUAUUAUAUAGUAGUUUAUUUAUUUAAUAUAAUAAUAGAAUGUUUCAAACCCUAAUUAUUGUUUUGUUAUUGUUAAUAUUAAACAUAAACUACUUUAUUAGAAAAAUGCCUAAUAUAUUAUCUAACAAAACAGUAAACAGCAAAGAAAAACGAGACCAUUCAUUGAAUCAGAAAAUUAUUUUUUGCUGUUGUUUGAAGAAAUGCUUAAAAUGUAUUCCAGUAACGAAGUUAUUAGAGGCUUACAUAAAAAUGUAUGUAAAACUUGAAUAUUCAAUAUCUGUGUACAGUUAUCCAACAGGCAUUUGUCUAACAUGCAAAAAGUAUGUAAACUUACUGAAGGAAAGUAAAGACAUACCAAAUGCAGUUAAAACUCGAUGGCAAUCUUCCCAAUUAUCUAGAUGUGUAAGCACUAGAAAUUGUGAAACAUGCACAGUUUGUUCAAAGGCUAGAUCAAGAUUUCCACAUAUGAAAAAAACAAAGAAAUUAGUAAGUUCUAAUAGGAUGUUUAACGUUUGCUUAUGUGCGAUCAAAAAAGGAGUUCAACAUCAAUGUACUAAAAUGAAUGUGUAUACAAAUCUUUCUGCUAAGUUAUUUAAUGCUUCGGAAAAAGUUCAGAAAAAAGUCACUUCGAAUGUUUUAAGAUAGAUUAUUAAGAAAAAGAAACUUAAGCAUGGAAUCCAGACCCAUCUAAUUACUGGUAAUUUGUUUAUUAGAUUUAUUAGUGUUUUCGAAUUGAUUAAAUCAUCUAAAGUAUUUUGUUAUUCAGGUGGGUUGCCAUUACCUUUAACUGUUGGUGUUCCUCAAUUAGUUAUUAGGAAAGUCAAAUUUGAAGACACUGAAACUAUGAUUAAUCAACUUGGACUUUCAAAUCACACAUCCGUCAAUUCAAAUCACACAUCCUUCUGAAAUCCUUAAGGAAAAGUGGAAUUCAAUUUGAGGCAAAUCUUGAAAAAAAACUUUACCAAAAAAGUAAACUCCUAUCUGAAUUUUAUGAUGUGAAGACAAUUUUUGCAGAAGAAAAAAAAAAAAAAGUUGUCAACCGAUGUGUCAAGAGACCUUGUUUAUGUUUUUCAAUUAACAGAGCUGUUUAACUUUGUAAUGACUUACAGAAAGCAAAACCCUUACCAAACAUUAAUACGAAUUGGAAUUGAUUCAGGAGGUGGAUCACUUAAGAUAAUUAUAAAUGUUGGUAACAAUAAAUGUUGUAUACUAUUGGAAAUACAUCUCGAAAAGGGAA
rnacentral:misc_RNA from 1 species